rnacentral:miRNA from 1 species
UAACCUCCAUGGGUCCGAA